rnacentral:lncRNA from 1 species
GUUGACGGUGGACCCGUAUUGCCGCUUUGGCGUCAGAUUGUGCCGAGGGCACGUGACCUGUUGGUUGUUAGACUAGUGAGAUCGUUUACUUGACCUUAGCCUGUGAGAGCCGUGUGAACUUACAGAGUUACUUGUAAACUCGUUGGGUCGCGCCCACGAAUGCCAUUCCGGAAUAAGGUUUCAGUGCGAUGAGUGUCGCAGUUUCUGUUGGACAGUUCUUAAGCCGGCUACCCUCGGGGUGGUGUACGGCACAGCUAGAUACAGACAGGGUGGGUCCGUUUUGGGCAGCCCAGGUAAGAUAGUGAGUGACACUUUUUCCCUACCUUUAGUGAGGUUGUGACGUGAGUAGAGUCUUAGCCGUCCUGUUGGACUUUUUCGGGAACCGACUACUCUUGAGAUACGGUGUAGUCUAAUUAGGCGAGACGGGUGUAUUCACAGUCUCUAGAGAGUCUUCUCCGCCGGUUACUCUUGAGAUACGGUGUAGUCUAGUAGACGAGACGGGUGUAUUCACAGUCUCUAAAGAGUCUUCUCCGCCGGUUACUCUUGAGCUACGGUGUCACCUAAUUAGACGGGAUGGGUGUAUUCACAGUCCCUAGAGAGUUUUCUCCACCAGCUACUCCUGGAGUAGGUUACGGGUUCGAUCCGACAGGCAGGACGGGUGUGUUCACAGUCCCUAGUGAGA